rnacentral:rRNA from 1 species
CGCGUAGGCGGUCCGACAAGUCGGGGGUGAAAUCCUGCAGCUUAACUGCAGAAGUGCCUUCGAUACUGUCGGUCUUGAGGGAGAUAGGGGUGUGCGGAACUUCCAGUGGAGCGGUGAAAUGCGUUGAUAUUGGAAGGAACGCCGGAGGCGAAAGCGGCGCACUGGAUCUCUUCUGACGCUGAGGCGCGAAAGCUAGGGAGCAAACG